GACUAUGUGGCGCAAUGGAAGCGCAUCUGAUUUAAGAUCAGAAGGUUGCGUGUUCGAAUCACGUCGUAGUCA